GACGGAAGGUGCAAGCGUUGCUCGGAAUAACUGGGCGUAAAGGGUGCGUAGGCGGCCGCGCAAGUCUGGGGUGAAAGCCCCGGGCUCAGCCCGGGAAGGGCGCUCGAAACGGCGCGGCUCGAGUGCCGGAGGGGAGAGUGGAAUUCCUGGUGUAGCGGUGAAAUGCGUAGAUAUCAGGAGGAAUACCGGUGGCGAAAGCGGCUCUCUGGGGACCACCUGACGCUGAGGCGCGAAAGCGUGGGGAGCGAACCGG
rnacentral:rRNA from 1 species